AUGAACGCUGGCGGCGUGCCUAAUACAUGCAAGUCUAGCGCACAGAUGAGGAGCUUGCUCCUCUGACGUUAGCGGCGGACGGGUGAGUAACACGUGGAUAACCUACCUAUAAGACUGGGAUAACUUCGGGAAACCGGAGCUAAUACCGGAUAAUAUAUUGAACCGCAUGGUUCAAUAGUGAAAGACGGUUUUGCUGUCACUUAUAGAUGGAUCCGCGCCGCAUUAGCUAGUUGGUAAGGUAACGGCUUACCAAGGCAACGAUGCGUAGCCGACCUGAGAGGGUGAUCGGCCACACUGGAACUGAGACACGGUCCAGACUCCUACGGGAGGCAGCAGUAGGGAAUCUUCCGCAAUGGGCGAAAGCCUGACGGAGCAACGCCGCGUGAGUGAUGAAGGUCUUCGGAUCGUAAAACUCUGUUAUUAGGGAAGAACAAAUGUGUAAGUAACUAUGCACGUCUUGACGGUACCUAAUCAGAAAGCCACGGCUAACUACGUG
rnacentral:rRNA from 1 species